AACCUCCGCAAUGUGAGAAAUCGCGACGGGGGGAUCCCAAGUGCCAUUCUUAACGGGAUGGCUUUUCAUUAGUGUAAAGAGCUUUUGGAAUAAGGGCUGGGCAAGACCGGUGCCAGCCGCCGCGGUAACACCGGCAGCUCUAGUGGUAGCAGUUUUUAUUGGGCCUAAAGCGUCCGUAGCCGGUUUAAUAAGUCUCUGGUGAAAUCCUGUAGCUUAACUGUGGGAACUGCUGGAGAUACUAUUAGACUUGAGACCGGGAGAGGUUAGAGGUACUCCCAGGGUAGAGGUGAAAUUCUGUAAUCCUGGGAGGACCGCCUGUUGCGAAGGCGUCUAACUGGAACGGUUCUGACGGUGAGGGACGAAAGUUAGGGGCGCGAACCGGAUUAGAUACCCGGGUAGUCCUAACUGUAAACGAUGCGGACUUGGUGUUGGGGUGGCUUUGAGCUGCUCCAGUGCCGAAGGGAAGCUGUUAAGUCCGCCGCCUGGGAAGUACGGUCGCAAGACUGAAACUUAAAGGAAUU
rnacentral:rRNA from 1 species